GUGGGGAAUUUUGGACAAUGGGCGCAAGCCUGAUCCAGCCAUGCCGCGUGAGUGAAGAAGGCCUUCGGGUUGUAAAGCUCUUUCGGCCGGGAAGAAAUCGGCGACUCUAACAUAGUCGCUGGAUGACGGUACCGGACUAAGAAGCACCGGCUAACUACGUGCCAGCAGCCGCGGUAAUACGUAGGGUGCGAGCGUUAAUCGGAAUUACUGGGCGUAAAGCGUGCGCAGGCGGGUUUGUAAGACAGAUGUGAAAUCCCCGGGCUUAACCUGGGAACUGCGUUUGUGACUGCAAGGCUAGAGUACGGCAGAGGGGGGUGGAAUUCCUGGUGUAGCAGUGAAAUGCGUAGAUAUCAGGAGGAACACCGAUGGCGAAGGCAGCCCCCUGGGCCUGUACUGACGCUCAUGCACGAAAGCGUGGGGAGCAAACAGGAUUAGAAACCCGGGUAGUCC
rnacentral:rRNA from 1 species